CCUACGGGUGGCAGCAGUGAGGAAUAUUGGUCAAUGGCCGGAAGGCUGAACCAGCCAUGCCGCGUGAAGGUCAGUGCCCUAUGGGCGUUAAACUUCUUUUGUGCGGGAGCAAUAAUGGUCACGUGUGGCCAGACGAGAGUACCGUACGAAUAAGCAUCGGCUAACUCCGUGCCAGCAGCCGCGGUAAUACGGGGGAUGCAAGCGUUAUCCGGAUUUAUUGGGUUUAAAGGGUGCGUAGGCUGUGAGGUAAGUCAGCGGUGAAAUGCCCCCGCUCAACGGGGUGAAGUGCCAUUGAUACUGCCUUGCUGGAAUGCGGAUGCCGUGGGAGGAAUGUGUGGUGUAGCGGUGAAAUGCAUAGAUAUCACGCAGAACUCCGAUUGCGAAGGCAGCAUACCGGCGCCCGACUGACGCUGAGGCACGAAAGCGUGGGGAUCGAACAGGAUUAGAUACCCGGGUAGUC
rnacentral:rRNA from 1 species